rnacentral:rRNA from 1 species
UUAAGCGACUAAGCGUACACGGUGGAUGCCCUGGCAGUCAGAGGCGAUGAAGGACGUGCUAAUCUGCGAAAAGCGUCGGUAAGGUGAUAUGAACCGUUAUAGCCGGCGAUGUCCGAAUGGGGAAACCCAGUGCAAUUCGUUGCACUAUCGUUAACUGAAUACAUAGGUUAACGAGGCGAACCGGGGGAACUGAAACAUCUAAGUACCCCGAGGAAAAGAAAUCAACCGAGAUUCCCCCAGUAGCGGCGAGCGAACGGGGAGCAGCCCAGAGUCUGAAUCAGCUUGUGUGUUAGUGGAACGGUCUGGAAAGUCCGACGGUACAGGGUGAUAGUCCCGUACACCAAAAUGCACAGGCUGUGAACUCGAAGAGUAGGGCGGGACACGUGGUAUCCUGUCUGAAUAUGGGGGGACCAUCCUCCAAGGCUAAAUACUCCUGACUGACCGAUAGUGAACCAGUACCGUGAGGGAAAGGCGAAAAGAACCCCGGCGAGGGGAGUGAAAAAGAACCUGAAACCGUGUACGUACAAGCAGUGGGAGCACCUUCGGGUGUGACUGCGUACCUUUUGUAUAAUGGGUCAGCGACUUAUAUUCUGUAGCAAGGUUAACCGUAUAGGGGAGCCGCAGGGAAACCGAGUCUUAACUGGGCGUUAAGUUGCAGGGUAUAGACCCGAAACCCGGUGAUCUAGCCAUGGGCAGGUUGAAGGUUGGGUAACACUAACUGGAGGACCGAACCGACUAAUGUUGAAAAAUUAGCGGAUGACUUGUGGCUGGGGGUGAAAGGCCAAUCAAACCGGGAGAUAGCUGGUUCUCCCCGAAAGCUAUUUAGGUAGCGCCUCGUGAACUCAUCUUCGGGGGUAGAGCACUGUUUCGGCUAGGGGGUCAUCCCGACUUACCAACCCGAUGCAAACUACGAAUACCGAAGAAUGUUAUCACGGGAGACACACGGCGGGUGCUAACGUCCGUCGUGAAGAGGGAAACAACCCAGACCGCCAGCUAAGGUCCCAAAGUCAUGGUUAAGUGGGAAACGAUGUGGGAAGGCACAGACAGCCAGGAUGUUGGCUUAGAAGCAGCCAUCAUUUAAAGAAAGCGUAAUAGCUCACUGGUCGAGUCGGCCUGCGCGGAAGAUGUAACGGGGCUAAACCAUGCACCGAAGCUGCGGCAGCGACACUAUGUGUUGUUGGGUAGGGGAGCGUUCUGUAAGCCUGCGAAGGUGACCUGUGAGGGUUGCUGGAGGUAUCAGAAGUGCGAAUGCUGACAUAAGUAACGAUAAAGCGGGUGAAAAGCCCGCUCGCCGGAAGACCAAGGGUUCCUGUCCAACGUUAAUCGGGGCAGGGUGAGUCGACCCCUAAGGCGAGGCCGAAAGGCGUAGUCGAUGGGAAACAGGUUAAUAUUCCUGUACUUGGUGUUACUGCGAAGGGGGGACGGAGAAGGCUAUGUUAGCCGGGCGACGGUUGUCCCGGUUUAAGCAUGUAGGCUGGUUGUCCAGGCAAAUCCGGAUAAUCAAGGCUGAGGUGUGAUGACGAGGCACUACGGUGCUGAAGUAACAAAUGCCCUGCUUCCAGGAAAAGCCUCUAAGCAUCAGGUAACAUUAAAUCGUACCCCAAACCGACACAGGUGGUCAGGUAGAGAAUACCAAGGCGCUUGAGAGAACUCGGGUGAAGGAACUAGGCAAAAUGGUGCCGUAACUUCGGGAGAAGGCACGCUGGUGUGUAGGUGAAGUCCCUGCGGAUGGAGCUGAGACCAGUCGAAGAUACCAGCUGGCUGCAACUGUUUAUUAAAAACACAGCACUGUGCAAACACGAAAGUGGACGUAUACGGUGUGACGCCUGCCCGGUGCCGGAAGGUUAAUUGAUGGGGUUAUCCGUAAGGAGAAGCUCUUGAUCGAAGCCCCGGUAAACGGCGGCCGUAACUAUAACGGUCCUAAGGUAGCGAAAUUCCUUGUCGGGUAAGUUCCGACCUGCACGAAUGGCGUAAUGAUGGCCAGGCUGUCUCCACCCGAGACUCAGUGAAAUUGAACUCGCUGUGAAGAUGCAGUGUACCCGCGGCAAGACGGAAAGACCCCGUGAACCUUUACUAUAGCUUGACACUGAACAUUGAGCCUUGAUGUGUAGGAUAGGUGGGAGGCUUUGAAGCGUGGACGCCAGUCUGCGUGGAGCCAACCUUGAAAUACCACCCUUUAAUGUUUGAUGUUCUAACGUUGGCCCCUGACCGGGGUUGCGGACAGUGUCUGGUGGGUAGUUUGACUGGGGCGGUCUCCUCCCAAAGCGUAACGGAGGAGCACGAAGGUUAGCUAAUCCUGGUCGGACAUCAGGAGGUUAGUGCAAUGGCAUAAGCUAGCUUGACUGCGAGCGUGACGGCGCGAGCAGGUGCGAAAGCAGGUCAUAGUGAUCCGGUGGUUCUGAAUGGAAGGGCCAUCGCUCAACGGAUAAAAGGUACUCCGGGGAUAACAGGCUGAUACCGCCCAAGAGUUCAUAUCGACGGCGGUGUUUGGCACCUCGAUGUCGGCUCAUCACAUCCUGGGGCUGAAGUAGGUCCCAAGGGUAUGGCUGUUCGCCAUUUAAAGUGGUACGCGAGCUGGGUUUAGAACGUCGUGAGACAGUUCGGUCCCUAUCUGCCGUGGGCGCUGGAGAAUUGAGGGGGGCUGCUCCUAGUACGAGAGGACCGGAGUGGACGCAUCACUGGUGUUCGGGUUGUCAUGCCAAUGGCACUGCCCGGUAGCUAAAUGCGGAAGAGAUAAGUGCUGAAAGCAUCUAAGCACGAAACUUGCCCCGAGAUGAGUUCUCCCUGAGACUUUAAGUCUCCUGAAGGAACGUUGAAGACGACGACGUUGAUAGGCCGGGUGUGUAAGCGCAGCGAUGCGUUGAGCUAACCGGUACUAAUGAACCGUGAGGCUUAACCUU